rnacentral:tRNA from 4 species
GCGCCCGUAGCUCAGCUGGAUAGAGUACUGCCCUCCGAAGGCAGGGGUCGGACGUUCGAAUCGUCUCGGGCGCACCA